GCAAGAUAUAAAUUAAGGACAAUAUGGACAUGGAACCAAUAUUGACAUCAACUUAGGUGGACCAAUAUUGACAUGGAACAACGAGAUUUAGUACAUAGAUUAAGGACAAAAAAGAAAGGUACAUGACAUCAACACUGUGUAUUGUGAGAAAUAACCAUGUCAGUAGUAAGAGGUUAGAAUUUAAGUGAAGCAAAAAGUGGCUUCCAAGGAAAUCCAAUAACAUCUGUUUGAAAUUUUGAAGAAUAUCUUAUAUCUUUACAAGAUAAAUAAGAAUUGCAUAUAGAUUAAUAGAUCACAAGUGCAAUAAAUUUGAUAUAAUAACUACUAAGGAUGUGAAUGGUGAUUAAGCCUCUGGCACCACUGGAGUCAACUUCUUGUGCAGUUCUUUUGCGAUAACAUCUCUUCUCUCAUGAGUUAACAUUUGCAUCAAGAUGAGCGAACUUAUGUACGACAGUCAACCCUAACUCAAUCGUUGAUAUUGCAACAACAGAUCAAAUCUCUACAGCAUUUCAUUGUAAAUUCUACCAACAUCCUUCCGUCCUGCAUAUCAUAAAAAAUGUGUAUAUAACUUAUAUCCUGGUCAAACAGCAUGCCGUUUGCAAGAUGAUAAGGGCAAAAUGUGGUUGGUCAAAGAAAGCAAAAAGACAAACCAACGCAAGAGAUAUCAUCAAAUGAGUUGGUCCAAGAGAAAUUUCUCCCCAUAUUGGUUUGUUUUAUGUUCCAUCAUAGGUGGCUGCUCCUGGACUGUUGCAGGUGAGAUUACCAGCCAUUUCUCCCAUUUUUGCCGGAACAC